UACGUAGGGUGCAAGCGUUAAUCGGAAUUACUGGGCGUAAAGCGCGCGUAGGCGGCUUUGCAAGUCGAGUGUGAAAUCCCCGGGCUUAACCCGGGAACUGCAUUCGAGACUGCAUAGCUAGAGUAUGGGAGAGGGAAGUGGAAUUUCAGGUGUAGCGGUGAAAUGCGUAGAUAUCUGAAGGAACAUCAGUGGCGAAAGCGACUUCCUGGACCAAUACUGACGCUCAUGUGCGAAAGCGUGGGGAGCAAACAGG
rnacentral:rRNA from 1 species